rnacentral:rRNA from 1 species
UAACCUGCCCAUAAGAGGGGGAUAAUCCAUGGAAACGUGGACUAAUACCGCAUAUUGUAGUCAAGUCGCAUGACUAGAUUAUGAAAGAUUUAUCGCUUAUGGAUGGACUCGCGUCAGAUUAGAUAGUUGGUGAGGUAACGGCUCACCAAGUCAACGAUCUGUAGCCGAACUGAGAGGUUGAUCGGCCGCAUUGGGACUGAGACACGGCCCAG